AACAACUUAUAUUUGUCGUUUUCUUCAUCCAAUUGCUUUCCGUUAUAGGGCCCACAAAAGACUGCGCCGUCGUACGAAUAUUUCCCGACAGUACGAAUAUUCCACGACCAAACGAAUAUUUUCCGACAAUAAUGAAUAUUUUAUAACCACUUGCUUAUUCGAAAUAUUUGCGUAUUUUACCCAUAACUAUACACAUUAAUCAAAU
rnacentral:lncRNA from 1 species